GGUGAUCGAAUCCUCAUCAUUCUCAUCAAGUUCAAUGGAAUCACCAUCUCAGAUCAAAAAAUUGUAGCAUCUGUCCGACUGACGUGGUACUCUAUUGGAUCUUUUUAAUGAUGCCUCUACUAGCUCUAGAUUCGAUUCACUAAUCGAAUCCAAUUCUGUAUGUAUCAGUCCUUCCAUCUCAUGAACUUCAUUUAGUUCAAUUUUACAGGUAUUAGCUCAUUCACCAAAGAACUCCUUUUCCAAAAAGAUUGUCCGACUGCUGACAAACACUUUUUAUUCUGCAGCGAGGUAGAAGUAGUACCCUUUAAUUUUCUUUGGAUACCCUACAAAUAAGCAUCUAUUGGACUUCAAUCCAAGCUUAUCUGUCUUUAAAUGUUUGACAUAAGCUGGAAGCCCCC
rnacentral:lncRNA from 1 species